UCAACUAUCAAGCCUGGCUUGUCGUUGGACCCCUUUUGUCACUGAAAUAUGUGAUAGGUCCGAAAGAUAAUGACGGUGUCGUGUUUGACCCUAAAUGCAACGAGCUUUUUUAUAGCACGCAUUGAAGUGGUCGGCCGACCCAGUCUUUAACCAUCAUUUUUCUAA
rnacentral:misc_RNA from 1 species